AGCAGUCGCCGCGGGAAUACGAAGGGUGCAAGCGUCAAUCGGAAUUACUGGGCGUAAAGCGUGCGUAGGCGGUUUGUUAAGUCUGCUGUGAAAUCCCCGGGCUCAACCUGGGAAUGGCAGUGGAUACUGGCAAGCUAGAGUGUGUCAGAGGAUGGUGGAAUUCCCGGUGUAGCGGUGAAAUGCGUAGAGAUCGGGAGGAACAUCAGUGGCGAAGGCGGCCAUCUGGGACAACACUGACGCUGAGGCACGAAAGCGUGGGGAGCAAACAGGAUUAGAGACCCCCGUAGUCCCUGUCUCUUAUAC
rnacentral:rRNA from 1 species